rnacentral:rRNA from 1 species
GAUGAACGCUGGCGGCGUGCCUAAUACAUGCAAGUCGAGCGAACAGAUGAGGAGCUUGCUCCUCUGACGUUAGCGGCGGACGGGUGAGUAACACGUGGAUAACCUACCUAUAAGACUGGGAUAACUUCGGGAAACCGGAGCUAAUACCGGAUAAUAUAUUGAACCGCAUGGUUCAAUAGUGAAAGACGGUUUUGCUGUCACUUAUAGAUGGAUCCGCGCCGCAUUAGCUAGUUGGUAAGGUAACGGCCUACCAAGGCGACGAUGCGUAGCCGACCUGAGAGGGUGAUCGGCCACACUGGAACUGAGACACGGUCCAGACUCCUACGGGAGGCAGCAGUAGGGAAUCUUCCGCAAUGGGCGAAAGCCUGACGGAGCAACGCCGCGUGAGUGAUGAAGGUCUUCGGAUCGUAAAACUCUGUUAUUAGGGAAGAACAAAUGUGUAAGUAACUAUGCACGUCUUGACGGUACCUAAUCAGAAAGCCACGGCUAACUACGUG